GGUCAAGUGAAGAAGCGCAUACGGUGGAUGCCUUGGCAGUCAGAGGCGAUGAAAGACGUGGUAGCCUGCGAAAAGCUUCGGGGAGUCGGCAAACAGACUUUGAUCCGGAGAUGUCUGAAUGGGGGAACCCAGCCAUCAUAAGAUGGUUAUCUUGUACUGAAUACAUAGGUGCAAGAGGCGAACCAGGGGAACUGAAACAUCUAAGUACCCUGAGGAAAAGAAAUCAACCGAGAUUCCCUUAGUAGUGGCGAGCGAACGGGGACUAGCCCUUAAGCUUCUUUGAUUUUAGCGGAACGCUCUGGAAAGUGCGGCCAUAGUGGGUGAUAGCCCUGUACGCGAAAGGAUCUUAGAAGUGAAAUCGAGUAGGACGGAGCACGAGAAACUUUGUCUGAAUAUGGGGGGACCAUCCUCCAAGGCUAAAUACUACUGACUGACCGAUAGUGAACUAGUACCGUGAGGGAAAGGCGAAAAGAACCCCGGAGAGGGGAGUGAAAUAGAUCCUGAAACCGUAUGCGUACAAGCAGUGGGAGCCCACUUUGUUGGGUGACUGCGUACCUUUUGUAUAAUGGGUCAGCGACUUAUUUUCAGUGGCGAGCUUAACCGAAUAGGGGAGGCGUAGCGAAAGCGAGUCUUAAUAGGGCGUCUAGUCGCUGGGAAUAGACCCGAAACCGGGCGAUCUAUCCAUGGGCAGGUUGAAGGUUGGGUAACACUAACUGGAGGACCGAACCGACUACCGUUGAAAAGUUAGCGGAUGACCUGUGGAUCGGAGUGAAAGGCUAAUCAAGCUCGGAGAUAGCUGGUUCUCCUCGAAAGCUAUUUAGGUAGCGCCUCAUGUAUCACUGUAGGGGGUAGAGCACUGUUUCGGCUAGGGGGUCAUCCCGACUUACCAAACCGAUGCAAACUCCGAAUACCUACAAGUGCCGAGCAUGGGAGACACACGGCGGGUGCUAACGUCCGUCGUGAAAAGGGAAACAACCCAGACCGUCAGCUAAGGUCCCAAAGUUAUGGUUAAGUGGGAAACGAUGUGGGAAGGCUUAGACAGCUAGGAGGUUGGCUUAGAAGCAGCCACCCUUUAAAGAAAGCGUAAUAGCUCACUAGUCGAGUCGGCCUGCGCGGAAGAUGUAACGGGGCUCAAACCAUACACCGAAGCUACGGGUAUCACUUAGGUGAUGCGGUAGAGGAGCGUUCUGUAAGCCUGUGAAGGUGAGUUGAGAAGCUUGCUGGAGGUAUCAGAAGUGCGAAUGCUGACAUGAGUAACGACAAUGGGUGUGAAAAACACCCACGCCGAAAGACCAAGGUUUCCUGCGCAACGUUAAUCGACGCAGGGUUAGUCGGUCCCUAAGGCGAGGCUGAAAAGCGUAGUCGAUGGAAAACAGGUUAAUAUUCCUGUACUUCUGGUUAUUGCGAUGGAGGGACGGAGAAGGCUAGGCCAGCUUGGCGUUGGUUGUCCAAGUUUAAGGUGGUAGGCUG
rnacentral:rRNA from 1 species